rnacentral:rRNA from 1 species
UGGGGAAUCUUGCACAAUGGGGGAAACCCUGAUGCAGCGACGCCGCGUGAGCGAUGAAGGUUUUCGAAUCGUAAAGCUCUGUCCUAUGGGAAGAUAAUGACGGUACCAUAGGAGGAAGCCCCGGCUAACUACGUGCCAGCAGCCGCGGUAAUACGUAGGGGGCGAGCGUUGUCCGGAAUUACUGGGCGUAAAGGGUUCGCAGGCGGCAUGACAAGUCUGAUGUAAAAGGCGAAAGCUCAACUUUCGUAAGCAUCGGAAACUGUCAAGCUUGAGUGAAGGAGAGGCAAGUGGAAUUCCUAGUGUAGCGGUGGAAUGCGUAGAUAUUAGGAGGAAUACCGGUGGCGAAGGCGACUUGCUGGACUUCAACUGACGCUGAGGAACGAAAGCGUGGGUAGCAAACAGG